ACGAACGCUGGCGGCGUGCUUAACCCAUGCAAGUCGAACGGAAAGGCCCUGCUUUUGUGGGGUGCUCGAGUGGCGAACGGGUGAGUAACACGUGAGUAACCUGCCCUUGACUUUGGGAUAACUUCAGGAAACUGGGGCUAAUACCGGAUAGGAGCUCCUGCUGCAUGGUGGGGGGUGGAAAGUUUCGGCGGUUGGGGAUGGACUCGCGGCUUAUCAGCUUGUUGGUGGGGUAGUGGCUUACCAAGGCUUUGACGGGUAGCCGGCCUGAGAGGGUGACCGGCCACAUUGGGACUGAGAUACGGCCCAGACUCCUACGGGAGGCAGCAGUGGGGAAUAUUGCACAAUGGGCGGAAGCCUGAUGCAGCAACGCCGCGUGCGGGAUGACGGCCUUCGGGUUGUAAACCGCUUUCGCCUGUGACGAAGCGUGAGUGACGGUAAUGGGUAAAGAAGCACCGGCUAACUACGUG
rnacentral:rRNA from 1 species